AGUUUUAGAAUUGGUUUUUAUUGAGUUUGACGGUUGAAAUAUUAAAAAUGAAGUCAGAAACGAAGGAGCACGCGAAUCGAAGAAAUGCUUCACGCAAAUGUAACCGAUAACUGGCUGAUCGCUCCUCCAAGGCCCGAUAUCAGAUCAAAAUGAGGCCAAUGGAAUAUUAUAUAGCCAGCCAGCGGAACCAGGACAAAGGCCGGGAAAAAAUGCCCGCUAUCUUUCUACACAAUAUUUCUUCCAUCCAGCCUCUAAAAGCAUUUAAGGGCGAAGGUAUUUCCAAAUAAAUAUUCCGUGGCCUGCUCAAACUGAAAUAGAGUAAUAAAGCUCUUGUGUAAAGAUUUCUUCUCCUAUCAACAGGUCCUGGUUAAAUUGGAGUCUGAGAAGUGCCAGUCACAGCGCAACUGCACCACAAAUUUAAAUUUUUAAACUUAAACAGAGUGAAAAUAUUUGGCCCAAACUGUCGUGGCCAAGUUAAACUGGUUCAAAGUGACAGAACCGGACCCAAAGACUUCUGGCAAUUCUCCGGAGGAAGUGUCCCAAACCAAUCCGAGACACUUGUAAGGUGCCUAGACAGCAACAAAAAGAACGCGAAGCCAUUUGACAUUUCAGCCAGGGCUGUUCCAAUUUGUACUUUACUGCCUGGCCAAUCCCCACAUCCAUGUGCAGCGAUAGUAAGUGGUUGAUGGGUCUGCGGUUAUCACUUGAGCAUAAAUUAUACACCCCGAUGUCCCGCCCCCGAGGCCGCUCAUCUCCAGCCGCCGACUUGGGCUCGUAAAGUGCGCUGCCACACGGGGAAAUUGGCCCAUGGAGUUGGCCUGCCAAGCUGGAUGAAAUGCAAUUGAAAUGGUGGAAUGGCACUAGGUUUUCGGCUGGAAAAUCGGACCAUAAUGGCACUAAAUGGUAAGAAAAUACGGAAAAUAAAAGAUACAAAAUGAAAUUUAU